GAUGAACGCUGGCGGCGUGCCUAAUACAUGCAAGUCGAGCGAACGGACGCUACGCUUGCUUCUCUGUUGUUUGCGGCGGACGUGUGAGUAACACGUGUAUCACCUCCCUAUAAUACUGGGAUAACUUCGGGACACCGUAGCUAAUACCGUAUAAUCUUUUGCUCCGCAUUGUUCAAUAGUGAAAGACGGUCUUUCUGUCACUUAUCGAUGGAUCCGCGCUGCAUUAGCUAGUUGGUAAGGUCACGGCCUAUCAAGGCAACGAUGCAUAGACGAAGGGAGAGGGGGAUCGGCCACACGGGAAGUGGGACAGGGUCAAGAGGCCUAAGAGAGGCAGCAGAAGGGAAUGGUACGCAAUGGGCGAAAGCAUGACGGAGCAAGGCCGAGUGAGUGAUGAAGGCCUUGGGAGCGGAAAAAUCGGUUAUGAGGGAAGAACAGAUGUGGAAGUAAAUGUGCAGAGCGUGACGGUAACGAAUCAGAAAGCAACGGCUAACUACGUG
rnacentral:rRNA from 1 species